rnacentral:rRNA from 1 species
AACGGACGCUGGCGGUAUGCUAACACAUGCAAGUCGAACGAAUGUAUUAAUUUCGGUUAAUACGUUAGUGGCAGACGGGUGAGUAACGCGUGGGAAUGUACCCUUUAGUUCAGAAUAACUACGGGAAACUGUAGCUAAUACUGGAUAAGCCCUUCGGGGGAAAGAUUAAUCGCUAAAGGAACAGCCCGCGUUAGAUUAGGUAGUUGGUGAGGUAAAGGCUCACCAAGCCGACGAUCUAUAGCUGGUUUGAGAGGAUGAUCAGCCACACUGGGACUGAGACACGGCCCAGACUCCUACGGGAGGCAGCAGUGGGGAAUAUUGGACAAUGGGGGCAACCCUGAUCCAGCAAUACCGCGUGAGUGAAGAAGGCCUUCGGGUUGUAAAGCUCUUUUACCGGGGAAGAUAAUGACGGUACCCGGGGAAUAAGCUCCGGCUAACUUCGUGCCAGCCGCCGCGGUAACAC